rnacentral:rRNA from 1 species
GGUAAGCAGAACUGGCACUGUGGGAGGAACCAAAUGCCAGGUUAUGGUACCCAAUGCGAGGUGCUCAUAAGACCACAUGAAAUGGGUUGGUUACUCCAGAUAGCAGGACAGUAAUCAUGGAAUUUGGAAUCAGCUAAAGAGUGUGUAACAACUCACCUGCCGAAGCAAUUAACCCUGAAAGUGGAUGGCAUUCUAGCAUUGAGCUUAUAUCCGGUCGCUGCAGCAGUCAUGGAAUUGGGAGGUUUGUCACCUCUAUUGGGAGGUUUAUGCUGUGGUGAGUAGGAGGGUCGCUGCAGGGAGCUUUGAAGGUGCCAGGCAUGAGCCUGUCUGGAGCCCCCACAGAUACAGAUCUUGGUGGUAGUAGCAAAUAUUCAAGUGAGAACUUUGAGGACUGAAGUUGGAGAAGGGUUCCAUGUGAACAGCAGUUAAACAUGGAUCAGUCAGUCCUAAGGGAUCAUAGAAAUCUGUUCUGAAUUGGGACUUUACUAAUUGAGAGUCCUGUUGCUGACUGAAAGGGAAUGGGUCAAUAUUCCCCAACCCAGACAUAGAGAUCAGGCCUUCGGACUCAAGGGUGGAGAUGCAACCAAACUCGGAGAAGUCAUCGGAGGACCCAAGAGUUUUCUUUCAUUUGUAAGGGUUCGGGUCCCUGGAAUUGGCUCAUCCAGUAAUAGGGAUGUUGUUCCUGUAAAAGCACCAUGGCUCUUGCGGUGUCAGGUCCACCUCUGAUGGCCCUUGCAUAUCUGAGGGAGAUGGUGUGAUUUUUGUUCUGGACCAUGCCUACAACUGCAGCAAGU